GACAGAGGAUGCAAGCGUUAUCCGGAAUGAUUGGGCGUAAAGCGUCUGUAGGUGGCUUUUUAAGUCCGCCGUCAAAUCCCAGGGCUCAACCCUGGACAGGCGGUGGAAACUACCAAGCUGGAGUGACGGUAGGGGCAGGAGGGAAUUCCGGUUGGAGCGGUGAAAUGCGUAGAGAUCGGAAAGAACACCAACGGCGAAAGCACUCUGCUGGGCCGACACUGACACUGAGAGACGAAAGCUAGGGGAGCGAAUGGG
rnacentral:rRNA from 1 species